GACGAACGCUGGCGGCGUGCCUAAUGCAUGCAAGUUGAGCGAUGAAGAUUGGUGCUUGCACCAAUUUGAAGAGCAGCGAACGGGUGAGUAACGCGUGGGGAAUCUGCCUUUGAGCGGGGGACAACAUUUGGAAACGAAUGCUAAUACCGCAUAACAACUUUAAACAUAAGUUUUAAGUUUGAAAGAUGCAAUUGCAUCACUCAAAGAUGAUCCCGCGUUGUAUUAGCUAGUUGGUGAGGUAAAGGCUCACCAAGGCGAUGAUACAUAGCCGACCUGAGAGGGUGAUCGGCCACAUUGGGACUGAGACACGGCCCAAACUCCUACGGGAGGCAGCAGUAGGGAAUCUUCGGCAAUGGACGAAAGUCUGACCGAGCAACGCCGCGUGAGUGAAGAAGGUUGUCGGAUCGUAAAACUCGGUUGGUAGAGAAGAACGUUGGUGAGAGUGGAAAGCUCAUCAAGUGACGGUAACUACCCAGAAAGGGACGGCUAACUACGUG
rnacentral:rRNA from 1 species